rnacentral:rRNA from 1 species
AUUGAACGCUGGCGGCAUGCCUUACACAUGCAAGUCGAACGGCAGCACGGGAGCAAUCCUGGUGGCGAGUGGCGAACGGGUGAGUAAUGUAUCGGAACGUGCCCAGUCGUGGGGGAUAACGUAGCGAAAGCUACGCUAAUACCGCAUACGAUCUAUGGAUGAAAGCGGGGGAUCGCAAGACCUCGCGCGAUUGGAGCGGCCGAUAUCAGAUUAGGUAGUUGGUGGGGUAAAGGCCCAACAAGCCUGCGAUAUGUAGCUGGUCUGAGAGGACGACCAGCCACACUGGAACUGAGACACGGUCCAGACUCCUACGGGAGGCAGCAGUGGGGAAUUUUGGACAAUGGGCGCAAGCCUGAUCCAGCAAUGCCGCGUGCAGGAUGAAGGCCUUCGGGUUGUAAACUGCUUUUGUACGGAACGAAACGGCUUUUUCUAAUACAGAGAGCUAAUGACGGUACCGUAAGAAUAAGCACCGGCUAACUACGUGCCAGCAGCCGCCGUAA